AGCGAACGCUGGCGGCAGGCCUAACACAUGCAAGUCGAACGAACUCUUCGGAGUUAGUGGCGGACGGGUGAGUAACACGUGGGAACGUGCCUCUUGGUUCGGAAUAACUCAGGGAAACUUGUGCUAAUACCGAAUGUGCCCUUCGGGGGAAAGACUUAUCGCCAUUAGAGCGGCCCGCGUCUGAUUAGCUAGUUGGUGAGGUAACGGCUCACCAAGGCGACGAUCAGUAGCUGGUCUGAGAGGAUGACCAGCCACACUGGGACUGAGACACGGCCCAGACUCCUACGGGAGGCAGCAGUGGGGAAUCUUGCGCAAUGGGCGAAAGCCUGACGCAGCCAUGCCGCGUGAAUGAUGAAGGUCUUAGGAUUGUAAAAUUCUUUCACCGGGGACGAUAAUGACGGUACCCGGAGAAGAAGCCCCGGCUAACUUCGUG
rnacentral:rRNA from 1 species